rnacentral:rRNA from 1 species
CGGUGUAGAGCGUGGCGGGAGGCGCGGUAAGACGGAGUUGUCAAAGGGUAUCCGGAAUUGGUGGGCGUAAAGCGUGCGUAGGGGGUUUUUUAAGUCGGAUGUGAAAGCCCACGGCUCAACCGUGGAGGGUCAUUGGAAACUGGAAAACUUGAGUGCAGAAGAGGAAAGUGGAAUUCCAUGUGUAGCGGUGAAAUGCGCAGAGAUAUGGAGGAACACCAGUGGCGAAGGCGACUUUCUGGUCUGCAACUGACGCUGAUGUGCGAAAGCGUGGGGAUCAAACAGGAUUAGAUACCUAGUAGC